AAGUGAGACAUAUCCGCUCCAACUUGACUUAUCACGCGCUCAAUCAACUGUAGGAUUCAUGAUAAGACCCUUAAAUAAAGGGUGCCAGAGCUACCAGUGCUGUUCAUUUGGGUAUCGGUCCCAAUUUCCCCGGCACCUGUGUGCAUUGCUACUGUGUGUUUCAGGCAUGAAGGUGUGAUAUAAGAAUGCACGGCUGUAUAAUUUAGGGCUUUGUGGUACUUUACUCGCUUCCUGGACCCUGCUUUCCUAAACACGCCCCCUAGCUCCGAUCUUACCAGGACAGGCGACCCAGAGGGCGCCGGCACUCAGUAGUUACUAUACCAGAGCCUGCUCCUCAGGUGUUGGGACAGGCAGGCCACCAGAGGCGCUGAGGCGCGCCAACGCCAGUGCGGGGCUGGCGGGCCCGUGGCUGCCGCCGAAUCCCGCCCACAGGUGACACAGCUUGAAACAAGAAGGGCCCUGAAGCUUGGCCCUCCUUCCCUACUUUCCAUGGCUUUUAUCCUCUUUCUGCAUCUUUCUCUCCGCGACGGGCGUCCCUACGCGACAAACACCACUGGACAGUUCGGACCAGAGGCGAGCCGGGGAUGAGCCUGAGGUGGCGGAGGCCGCCCGCGGACAGCAAGCUCGGCAGGCGGUGGGGGUGCGGACAGCCGCGGUCUCCGCGGGUCCCGGGACCGGAAGUGCGCCGCGUCGCCAUGGCUACGGGCGCCAGCGCUCCGCCCCUACGCCUGCGGUUCCCAUGGCAGCUCCAUUGUAUUCCUGGCGAGGAGCGCCAAAAGCGGACCUCUUACCUUUCCGCGUUGUGGCGCCCGGAACGAGGUCGGCGGAGGCCGGGACGCUACGUGGCCCGCGGUAGCGGACCCGCCGGGCAGAAGGAGACCGAAGCCCACUUCCGGGGCGGGGCUGCUCCACCGCAGCCAGGAGAAAGAUGCAAGCCAAUCCCAUCCGCAUCCCAACAGUUAGCAAUGACACCGACUGGGCCUUCUGCUUCAACCUGUCACGGCAAACCAGGACUCCAGAAGACCAGCAAACAGACUACCCAAGCAAACAGGGAGCUGAUUCGAUGUGUCAUCUUCUCCCGGAUCAUUUUUGGAGAAGAACACUGGAAAUGGGCACAGGCUUUGACCAAAUUGGCUUAUGGCUACCUAACACUGAGAGGCCUCCCAGCUCAAGCCAAGAAACAUGCUGAAUCCGCCAAGAAUACACUCUUGAUGUGGAAGGGAAAAACAACCUCAAACAAGGAGAAAAAGGAAAUCCUAGAAGCUCUGGUCAUGGUCCACUACACUCUAGGGGUGGCCUGGUUCCUACAGAACCGUGGCAGAGAGGCCUAUUUCAACCUGCAGAAGGCAGACAGAAACAUGAAGGAGCUGAAAGAACUGAAUAAGGGAGAUGUUUGUGAAUUCCAGGUCUCAGAGAAAGACCUAACAAUUGCAUUGGGCAGAGCCUCCUUGGGUAUCCGCAGGUUGAACCUAGCUCUGGCAUAUUUUGAAAAGGCAGUUGGCAGUGUUAUCGCUGCCAAGGGUGAUGGAACAUCAGAUCUGAUCAGUCUGUAUGAGGAGAUUGCUCAGAUAGAGCAGCUGAGGAGGAACCACAAGCAGGCCAUCCAGUACUUGAAGCAGGCCUAUUCUAUCAGUGUUUCUUCAUUCACUGAAAUCAGCCGCCAAACUGCAGAGGUGGGCGCAUUAUUAGCCAAAGCUUAUGCCAUGUCUGGAGAGCCCCAGCACAGUGAAGCUGUUGAGGUAUAUUUCAUAAAAAGUAUCAGUGCCUAUCAAGCAACACUGGGCACAAAGAAUUGUGAAACAUUAACCACCAUUGAAGAAUUUUGUAAAUGGCUUACCCAAACUGGGAAAAAACAGGAGGCUUACAGACUGCUAAAGGCUUCACUGAAGUCCCAGGUCAUCAGCUAUGGUGACUGUAGUGAAAAAGUGGCAGAAACUUUUUAUAAUAUGGGCAGGAUCUGCUUUGCCAAAGGAGAGCUCAGAAAGGCAACUCACCUGCUAAGGAAGUGUCUGAUGAUUCAAAUCCUUAUAUAUGGAAAUGAUCAUGAUAAAAGCAGAGAGACAAAAAGCCUUCUUGCCCUAUUACAGAGGGCAAGUAAGAGCUCACCCAGAUGGAAAAGAGAAGCCACUCCAGGCAGAAGCAACUCUGUAUGCAAAGGCACGGAGGCAUGACAGAGGGCCGCGUGUGGAAGGAGUGGAAUUGAACUCAUGACCUCAGGCCUGCCAGGUCUUCUGUUAUGAGUAAAGAGAAAACUUAUACAAGACAGUCAACAAUAAAGGCAACACUGUUGACAAUAAAAAUUACAGACUAUGAAAUACAUUAACAUGGGCAGUAGUGGCAGAGCAAAAGCAGAAGAGUACUAAGGACUCUGGGGGGAAAGUACGUUUAGCAGCAACAUUACAGGUAAAAAAGCCAAGAACCACUGGAUAACCCAGAUCCUGACCCGUAAGUGGAGGUGGGGGUCUUUUAGACAUGUUUGUCUUGUUUGCUUUUUUGAGACAAGAUCUUGUUAUGUAGUUCAGGCUGAUCUUGAAAUUUUGAGUUUGUUGCUUU